rfam:Human gut metagenome DNA, contig sequence: In-R_034670.
UUGAAGUUCAAUCGUGCUGACUCUUAGACUUUUUCUUAGCGACCCAGCUAGCUUCGUACAUGGAUGUACGAAGCAAUGAGGCCGCGCCACGGACGGCGCGUCCGAAUGGUAGCGUCACCUAUAACUACCUAUAUGAAAAGUCUUAGAGUCAGCCGAUUGAAGCUUCU